AAAGUUCCUAUGGUUGAAACAUGGAAACAUGUGCUUGGUGUUCUCAACUUUAUGAAAGAAUUCAGCAAGAAGAAGAAAAAGAAAAGAAUAUCAAGCGAGAAGAAAUUCAACACCUAUUGAUGGGUGUUUGUUGGGGUCAUCCCAAUUGUUGUAGCAUAUUUUUUUUUAUUUUUUUAUUUUUAACUUAGGUUUAUUUCAUAUUUUUUUUAACUUGUAAUUCUUUGGACAUUUGAACAAUUUUUGGGUAGCAUCU
rnacentral:lncRNA from 1 species